rnacentral:rRNA from 1 species
CAUGCAAGUCGAACGAGGAUAUAUCCUUCGGGAUAUAAGCCGAGUGGCGCAAGGGUGAGUAAUGCAUAGAUUACCUGCCUCUAGGAUAAGGACAACUUUGUGAAAACGAAGCUAAUACUUAAUAAUACAAAAGAAAAUAAUUUUCUUUUGUCAAUGGGAGGGUAGCAAUACCUUUUGCCUAGAGAGGGGUUUAUGUCCUAUCAGCUUGUUGGUGGGGUAAUGGCCUACCAAGGCGAAGACGGGUAGCCGGUCUUAGAGGAUGGUCGGCCACACUGGGACUGAGACACUGCCCAGACUUCUACGGAAGGCUGCAGUCGAGAAUCUUUCGCAAUGCCCGAAAGGGUGACGAAGCGACGCCGCGUGAGUGAGGAAGGCCUUAGGGUUGUAAAGCUCUGUCAGGAGUUAAGAAAUAUAAGUGUGUUAAUACCACGUUUAUUUGACGAAGGCUCCAAAGGAAGCCACGGCUAACUCUGUGCCAGCAGCCGCGGUAAUACAGAGGUGGCAAGCGUUGUUCGGAAUUAUUGGGCGUAAAGAGCACGUAGGUGGGUUUGUAAGUCAGAUGUGAAAGCCUUCUGUUCAACGGAAGAAUUGCAUCUGAAACUGCAAGUCUUGAGUGUAGGAGGGGAGAAUGGAACUUCUGGUGGAGCGGUGAAAUGCGUAGAUAUCAGAAGGAACGCCGGCGGCGAAAGCGAUUCUCUGGCCUAUUACUGACGCUCAGUGUGCGAAAGCUAGGGGAGCAAACGGGAUUAGAUACCCCGGUAGUCCUAGCCGUAAACGAUGGGCACUAAGUAGAGGGAAUUACCGAUGUUCUCUCUGCCGUAGCUAACGCAUUAAGUGCCCCGCCUGGGGAGUACGGCCGCAAGGCUAAAACUCAAAAGAAUUGACGGGGGCUCGCACAAGCGGUGGAGCAUGUGGCUUAAUUCGAUGCAACGCGAAAAACCUUACCGGGGCUUGACAUGGUAGAAGUAGGAACCCGAAAGGGUAACGAACGGUAUCCAGCCCAUAGCUAUCACAGGUGUUGCAUGGCUGUCGUCAGCUCGUGUCGUGAGACGUUGGGUUAAGUCCCCUAACGAGCGAAACCCUUGUUUUUAGUUACCAGCGGGUUAUGCCGGGUACUCUAGAAAGACUGCCGUCGUCAAGACGGAGGAAGGUGGGGAUGACGUCAAGUCAUCAUGGCCCUUAUGCCCCGGGCUGCACACGUGCUACAAUGGUCGGUACAAACGGAAGCGAAGCCGAGAGGUGAAGCGAAUCCUAAAAAGCCGAUCUCAGUUCGGAUUGGAGGCUGAAAUUCGCCUCCAUGAAGUUGGAAUCGCUAGUAAUCGCGGAUCAGCAAUGCCGCGGUGAAUAUGUUCCCGAGCCUUGUACACACCGCCCGUCAAGCCACCCAAGCAGGAUGCACCCGAAAACAUUAUAUCUAACCAGGGCAACUUGGAGGAAAGUGUUGAAGGAGUGUUUUGUGAGGAGGACUAAGUCGUAACAAGGUAGUCGUAGGAGAACCUGCGGCUGGAUCACCUCCUUUCU